UUAUAGUGCUUUCUUUUUUUGGUGGGUAAGAUAAUGGAAUAGUAUUUUCCAUGUUACCAACAGUUCAACAUAGUAACUAAUACUAUGCAUAUAUUUGUUAGUGAAAAUACUUUCCAUUUUUAACUUAUCCUUGGGUAGGAAAUUUUGAUGAAUUUAUGUUUUUUUUCCUCCACUUUUCAUUGUUUUCAGGCGAUUGGAGUUGAAUAUCGAGAAGGUUUUGAGAGUUUUGGACAUGUUGGACCUCUCAAGGUUGAUGUGGUGUAAUUUAUGGAGUUAUAUGUAUGGUAGUGAUUGUUUUAUACGCUUUGUCGAAAUUACUUUACUGAUUAUGCUAUGACUUGCUACUGUUAGUUUUUACUAUGAGUAGGAUUUUUUGGAAGACAAGUUGCAAUAAGAUUUUCUUAAACGAAUACGAUAUGUAGUCAAACUCGAUGAAGUUUAUGGUCUUAUAUUCUCUUUUGACAAUGUUGUGGUAAGUUUCUAUUACACUCAUUAGUUAUGUGUUUCAGGUUCUAAUGGCUAGAAAUGAGAAUGUAAUGAACUGUGGAACAUUAAAUUUAUGAUAUCUUACUGAUCAAGAAAAAGAUUUAAAUGUGCAAUUAUUAAAAGAGAUCUAAUUGCGUAACAGUUACUUUUUCCGGCAAGGGUUUUCUAUUUUUCCGACGACUAUUCUCAAUUUUUUUUUUUUUUGAGUUGCAUGUAAUAAUUUAUGGUCAAUGUGAUCCCAUAUCUAUUUAAUUAAUUAUAUUCUUAAAUCAUGUAGGAAGACUAGCAAGUAGCAAUGAUACUGCUUUCUAAAUAGUUACUCUUCUUAUCGCAAACCAAACCAUUGAGAUAAUAACACUACAUGUAACAUUCUUUCGAAGAAAUCCAUAUGUCGAUAUUGGUUUGAACUAAAAGAAACUAAGAAAUGAAUGAUGCACAUUCGCAAUGAUAUAGAAUGCUUACAUUGCAACUUCAGCUAUACAACUUUUGCCACUCCAAUUGAUCGACGGUGAGACAAAACUAAUCAGAGGCAAAUGCACAAAAGUUGAUGAGGUGCUAUAAAAUUGCUAAAAAAGGGUGCUUUCUUAUCAAUCAACAUUAUUGGAGAAAAACUUUGAGCGUUGCAGUAAACAACAUUUAUCGUAUUUUGUCAUUCUAGAUAAAGUAAUAAAACUUCUACAAUUUUUGGUGUCUGUUGCAUAGAUUUUCAUAUGUAAUUAGUAUAAAUCUUUU